CGCGCCCCAGGCGCACGACAAGCCCUGCGUCAGGAGGUUGAGCACAGACCAUGUGGACAGCAGUGUGGUUGGCAAGUCAUUUAACUUUUCCAAACAAAUCUGCAAAAUGGAGAUAACAGCACCUGCCUCAUUGCGUUGUGAAGAAGAUGAAAUGUUUAGCCCGGUGCCCAACACCCAGUUCUCACUCUGUCAUCCAGGCUGGUGUGCAGUGGUGCAAUGUGGGCUUACUGCAGCCUUGACCUCCAGGACAAGUGAUCUCCCACCUCAGCCUCCGGAAUAGCUGGGACUACAGCUCAACAACGCCCCUCUGAAAGUAGGACUCUUGGAAAUGAACCUUGUUGGGAGUAAAGCUGAACCUUCACCUCUCCUUUCCAGGAUUCUACUCCAUUCAUACGGCCUCACACUGAAUUAAUGUUUCUAGCAGCCACAUUACUUUGUUACCCAAUUGAUCUAGUAGUAAAGUCUUCCCAUCUCUUCAUGUACCACUGGUUUAUUGACUCUUAAUGUAGGAUUCUACAUUUGUUUGUUGUUUAUCUUGUUAGAUCCAGCCUGUUGUUACAAUCUUGUAGGAAGUUAACUGGAUCCUGAUUCUACAUAUAGCUGAUUGACAUUUUGGAGGGUUUUGCAAUAACCAUUUCCCUUCCUGACAGCAUCCUAACUUCCUUUGGGGGACCUGUGUCUGUUCCCAUGUGGGCAGUCUUGGCCAGAAUGCAGUCCUAGGGCCCCCUACAGAAGCUGAGGAGUCUGGAUCCUUCCUCUCACUUCCCCUUGUGAACUCGCUGGGAGCCUCCUUUGGAGAUGUUGAGAUUCCCUCCACAGGCUCAGAGCUGGCCCGGUUCCCUUCCUCAGUUUCUCCUGAGAAGGGCAGGUGUGUGAGUGCCUGACCUCCCAGUCCAUGCAGGGCCAUCUGGCUGCUUGCUGGCUGCCCUCUUUGGAACCAGGGGCCCCAAUCCCAUCGCGUUUCUAAACCACCAACCGGCAGGCAUUCUGAGAUUCCAAACAAAUGCAAGAGAGAUUAGGAUCCCUUUGGCUAGAGGCCAAGGUGAAAGCUGAUCCUGCGGAAAGAGGAGACUGGCUGGGGUGGAGGUGAAUGUAAGCGGGGAACACGAGGUGCGCAGGUGUGGACGGGGAGUAUCUCAGCUCCAGAUGGAGCUCCCAGCAUCCUUCUGCAGACUCUGGGACGGCGGGGAUAAAUGGAAGGUGACUCCAAGUAUACAAGGGAUGGUCAAUAUCUCCUGUUCACCAAGCACUUGGUCUGCCAAAAACUAUGCUACACACCAUUAUUCUUUUUAAGUCCUCAUGACAACCCUAGGUUUUAUGUUUUUCAUUAUACAGCUGGCAAGCUGAAGCUCAGAGAAGUUCAAUAACUUGUUAAAGGUCAUGCAGCAACUAAGGGGCCAAGCCACAGGCCUGACUUUAGAACUAGUGCUCUUUGUUUUGAGAUGGAAUCUUGCUUUUGUAUUUUUAGUAGAGGCAGGGUUUCGCCAUGUUGGCCAGGCUGGUCUCAAACUCUUGGCCUCAAGUGAUCAGCCUGCCUCGCCCUCCCAAAGUGCUAGGAUUACAGGCAUGAGUCACCACGCCUGGCCAGAACCAGUGCUCUUAAUAGUAAUGACACCCUCCUGCCCCUCUGGAAGAACCUGAGAGAGGAAAGUGGGGGAGAGGGAAACCCCAGGCCUUCCAGGCGGCCCCUACUGUGUUAGGAGUUAAUUGAGUCCAUGAAAAUAGGCCCUCCAGUUUGGAUCUCUGUUGACUUCAAACCAACAGAGCUGAAAGUUGUUGUGACUCCCCAAGGAAAGAGUGAGAAAGAAAAGGCAAAGAAGAUGGGGCUGGCAAUGAUGAAAUCUCCUGCUUAGACAAAGCCCAGGACAGUUGGUUGGCAUUUUCAUUCUGGCUGGUUGCUCUGGCAGGCAUGAGAAAAUAAACAAAAGGGAGAACAGGUGGGAGAAAGUGCAGGCUGGUGAACCUUCUCUGUGCUCUGCCCACUGUCCUGAACUCUGAGGGCACGGGGAGUUAUACUCUUUUACCAAACUGGCCAAAUUCAGCCUGAAGGGCUCCUGGAGUCUUAGCCUACUCAUUCUCAGAUUUUAGCUUCCACCAACACCAACUAAACAAACCUGAUCUUUUUAAAGAGGUUUUUUGUUUGUUUUUUGAGACAGAGUCUCUCACUUUCACCCAGGCUGGAGGGCAGUGGCACAAUCUCAGCUCACUGUAACCUCCGCCUCCUGAGUUCAAGCCGUUUUCCUGCCUCAGCCACCCGAGUAGCUGGGACUACAGGAAUGCACCACCAGGCCUGGCUGAUUUUUGUAUUUUUGGCAGAGAUGGGGUUUCACCAUGUUGGCCAGGCCGGUCUCAAACUCCUGACCUCAAGUGAUCUGCCUGCCUUGGCCUCCCAAAGUGCUGGGAUUACAGGCGUGAGCCACCACACCUGGCCAAGAGUUAUUUAUUUUUUUUGUGUGUGAAAUCUGAUGCCACUUUAAAAUCAGCAGAUCCUUACCCCAUUCCCUUUCACUCUCAAUUCCCACUUUCUGGAAGUAAUUAUUGUCAAGUCUUUCUGGUACUUCUGGUUAUUUCUUCUGGUAUUUAUCCUAUUUUCACAUCAGAUUUAUGCGGCUAAUGUUAAUUAUUUUCAGUUUUGGGGGUUAAUCUAUUGACUACUAUGAAGAUAAUAUGAAAAUGUAGUUCUUCUAUUACUUUCCAUAUUUUUCUGUAGUUUUUUGGUAUCAUUAUUCUGCAUUUACAAUACUAGAACUGUGAAACAAGUAUUCAAGCUGAUUCAAGAAGUGUGCUGUGAGGAUAAUAAUUCCCUCUCCAGACAUUGUUUCUCCUGCAUGCCUGGCAACACUCAAUUCACUAUUGGUUGAAUGAACAGAAAGAUCUGAAAAUAUCUAGCAUGGCCCUGAGCACACUGUAGAAAUCCUGCAAAUGUUUGCAGACCGCAAUUACUUCCAAGGACAGGGACAGCACCUCCUGUUGGGAACAUUCCAGAUGGUUUGGAUGAUUAAAGGUAAGAUAAGAUAUUUUUUGUCUGGUACCCAUGCCACUUCUUCAGGCAACAGCAUCCCAGUUUUCCUUUGGGGAAUCACUCUUAUUAUACCUUCAGUUCUUAUAGUUUAUGAGAAGCUAAGCAGUUCCUGGAAUUUGCAGUUGACUUAAGGCAGAUGAGUUAAGAUGCAACCCUAACUUUUCCUAGAUUUUUUAAAAAGGGGUGCUUUCUUUUCACUAGGAUUACUAAUCUCGUGCCUCUAUAAGAAAACUAACUGUCUAAGAAGCAGACUUGAGAAAGCAACUGAGUCCUGAUGAUAUCAUGAGAGGCCCUGGACCCAGCUGUGCCUGAAGCCAACCACCAGACAUUUUAGUUAUUGAGUCAAUUUCCAUUCCUUUUUAAUUGCUUGAGUUCAGCUUGUCACCUGCAACUGCAAUAUUCCUAAUCCAGUUAGUAACCCUCUUUCACAUACACACAUACCCAUCACACACCUUACAGACCAAACAGAGGAAUCGAGCUGACUUUUGUCCCUAAGCACGGGUUUACCUACUCACCUCAAAUCUAAAUUGUAUUUUUCUGAGUUGUGUUGUGCAGUUGACUGUCAAUAUUUAGCUUUCCUUGUACGGUACUUUCUAUACCAAGCUUGUCUGGCCUGUAGGCUGCAUGCCGCCCAGGACAGCUUGGUAUGGGGCCCAACACAAAUUCAUAAACUUUCUUAAAACAUUGUUUUUUGUUUGUUUUGUAGCUUAUCAGCUAUCGUCAGUGUUAGUGUAUUUUAUGUGUGGCCCAAGACAAUUCUUAUUCCAGUGUGGCCCAGGGAGGCCAAAGGAUUGGACACCCCUGUUCUAUUCCAUGAUCAGCAAGUAGACAUUUGCGGUGUCCUAAGUAGUAUCAGGUGAUAAGUCAAGGUGGAUGGAAGAGAUGCAAUUCUCAUUUAUAGCCUGGCCCAAAUUGAACUCCAAGAAACACACACAAUAAGCACUGCUCCCUAAGCCUGUGCGCUGUUCUGGAAAGAGCCUACUAAAACAACCUUGGCUUUUCUUUUUGACUCGCUGAUGCCAAGGACAGGUCUGUGCAUUUACUACCAGUACAAUGGGACAGGAAAGUCUCACACACAUUUUUUUAUUCUUUGAGAUGGAGUUUCACUCUUGUUGCCCAGGCUGGAGUGCAGUGGCACGAUCUCGGCUCACUGCAACCUCUGCCUCCCAGGUUCAAGUGGUUCUCCUGCCUCAGCCUCCCGAGUAACUGGGAUUACAGGUGCACACCACCAUGCCUGGCUAAUUUUUGUAUAUUUAGUAGAGACGGGGUCUCACCAUGUUGGCCAGGCUGGUCACACACAUUUUAACCACCCAUCUUUGCUACAAGGGAAAAAGGCCAAACCUUGUGUGGGUGAAGAGGCAGACUCAAAUGCUCCCGAUGCAGAGGAACGAGGCGGCUACCACUCAAUCACCAAUUACCAUUUGCAUGCUACCCAACCUGGACCUUUCCAGGGCAUACUGGACCACUCCCCACUUCCUUGGGGUGCAAUGAAUUGCAGACAGUUUAAUCCAUGGGCUUUUGCUGAUUCUGUUUUCUCUGCUUGGAAUGCCCUUCUACACAGAGGAAGUCUUUCAAGACCCAGGUCAAAGGUUAGCUCUCCUGUGAACACUUGUUCCUUUUCUAUCUGGUAUAAGCAGCCAUUUUAACUAUCGUUAAAGGUCAGGGUUUCUUAACUUGGGUCUGCGGGUCAUUAUGAAUAAGUUUUAGAGGGACAUGUCUGUAUCUAUGUCCACAUAUGUUACUCUGGAGGCCAGGGUCAGAGAUUCCAGAUUCUCAGAUUCGGUGACCUCAAAAAAAGGUCUCUUUUGGCCAGGCACAGUGGCUCAUGCCUGUAAUCCCAGCACUUUGGGAGGGUGAGGCAGGAGGAUGGCUUGAGCUCACAAGUUCAAGACCAGUCUGGGCAACAUAGCAAGGUAUCGUCUCUAAAAAAAUAAUAAAAAAUUUUAAAAAGCUCUUAGGUGUCUCUCUCUUGUGAGUUGAGGGCAAGGUUCACAUCUCUUUCGUCUUAGACUCCCCGCACUGAUCCAAGAUAGACAGUCAACUGCUGGC
rnacentral:lncRNA from 10 species